UGGGACCGUCAGUUUUACCCGGAACUCAUGGAUAAAGGAUCACACAUUAUUCAGAUUGAUGUUGAUACAGAGAGAGGUGGUCUCUCAAUAAACCCUGAUUUCUUUGUUGACUUUGGGGAUGAACCUGAUGGUCCUGCCCUUGCUCACGAGAUGAGAUAUCCUGGGGGAGACUGCACCUCCGAUAUCUGGAUUUGAAUCUGCACCUAUGAAAGAGUAAUGCUGAAAUUUAAUCGUUGUGUUUUGUAAAGUAUAAUAAACUAGUGAUACCUCCUGUGCUACGCACGGAUCAGCUUCAAUGUCUUCCAAAUCGCACGAUCAUAAGAUUGUAAUGAUUAUAAAAAUAAAAUCGAAUGUAUCAGAUUGAAUAUUCUAAUAAAACCGAAUUUCAAUAUAAUUAAAAAAAUAUAUUUUUGUGUCAGAUCUAAUAUUUUAUACCAGAAAAGCUUGAAUCAUAUGUAUUAAUAGCUUGUAUCAGACCUAUGUAUUACUAGAAACUAGUAUAUACACCCUGUGCUAUGCACGGACCAGCUUUUGUUUACAUUUAAAUUAUUUUGUUUUAAUCAAAUGAUAGUGUUUUAUUUAUUUUUAAUAUCAAAACUAAAUACUAUUUUAGUCACAUUUGGUAGCUGGAUUAAAUGGAGACCAGAAAUUAGGCGUGUAACAUUUGAAGCAAAACAUUUUGAAGGGUAAAACAAUUACUGUUUACAAAAAAAAAACAAUUAUUAUGAAUUUUCGAAAAAGCGAUACAUCUAUGGAAGCAACAAUUUCGUUGAUAACUUUUUUUCAAAAAAAAAAACAUGUGCAUUGAACUUACAUUUUGGGUUUCUUCUCCAUAGCUUCUUUCUUUAGUCAUCACUAACCUUGAAUUCAAGGGUAAAACAAAGACAGAUGUAUAAUUGUUAGUUGAGUAUAUUCUGUUAUAGAAAACAUAUUUGUAAAAAACAAACCGAUUAGUAAAUACUCAAUUUGUAUCUGCUAUAUAUUACCUAAAAUUGCUGACAAAAUUCUGAUUUUUUUUCUUGUUUGAAAAAAGCUUUGAAACUGGAGUAUAUUUAAGUACUAUCUUCAACCUCAAUCAUGCCUAAAGAAUUAAAAAAAAUGAGAGAACACUGAAUUGAAAAUGAAAGCAAAUUAAAUCUGAAAUAAAAACUUGUAUAAGAUGUAGAAGAAUUAGAAACGAUGGUAGAGAAAGAGAUGGUAGGGAGAACAAAUAAGUUUUUUGAAUUUAUAAAAGAGUUAAUUGGUGUUAAAAAAAAACAGAGGGGGUGAUCGGUUGGGUUGUAGGAAGUGACUUUAGCUUUAAUUUUCAUCUACAACCUUAAAUACUACUAAUCAUACCUUAUCUUAGUUUUUAAAGCUACAACAAAAAAACUAAAGUUACUGCAAAAACAUACAAAAAAUGAUUGUAAAAAUCUUAUUUUCUAAAACCCAACCAAUCACCCCCUCUAGUUAAACAGUUUGACUCGUGACAUGAUCUUUAGUUAUAAAUAACAGUUCUUUUAAGAAAUUUGAAUGGGUUGAUAAAAAAAAAAAACGUGUUGACAUUGACAUGAAAAAAUUUAGGGAUUCAGUUCUUUUUUACCAAAGAAUUGAAAAUAAAAAAAUUAAAUUUUCUUAUUGUUGUUUAUUGAAAUAUCAAAUAUUUGAAAGAAUAUUGUGUACUGAAUAAACUGCAGUAGUUGACAAAAAAAAGAAAAAAGAAAAAACUGCAGUAAUAUAAAUAUGUAGCUGCUAAUAUAUACCUCUGGUAAUUUUGUCUCCCAUCAUCCCAUGGCAGCAUUGAUUAUGCCAUCUUCGAUGCGUCAUGCUGAUCUUUGCUCCUACAAAUGUGAAACGUACAUAAACCAAUUGUAUUUUUGAAUAUUUGAAAGACUAUAACUAUAGAAAAAGUACCAAAUUGCUCACCAUCGAAUGUUGAGGAUGUUUUCAAUCUACCUAUUGGUGUAAAACCUAUUGAACAGUAGGAACUCGUUUACCUUUUAUCAAAAUAUAUUCUUCUUCAUUUGUUUAUUUUUUUCCUCUAUAGAUUGAUAUUGUGCUUUAGGAGAUUUCUAGUUGUGGUGACAAAAAAAAGAAGGAGAUUUCUAGUUGCAGUAAAACAUGGAACGGAUUUCUCAUAAUUUGCCAUCAUUAUAAUAACAAUGAAUCACUUACUUCUUCCUUUUAAAAUGUGAUGCUCCUGGUUUUGAUAAUUCAAUCACAAAUUUAAAACUUUUUGGUAAUAGAUAAAACGUAGAGAAGAAAGCCAGUACACUUACAGAUUAUAUAUUGGAGAGAUGAAGAAAACAGUUUCAUAAAAAAGUAACUAACGUGGUAUUAAAAUUCAGAGAAAAAUAAGGAAUUUUUUAGGUAGUUGAGGAUUGCAUAAAAAUGGGAGAUGGCGAAAAUUUGUCUUUAUUUUAAUUUUUUUUUGGUAAACAUUUGCCAAAUGUCAAAACAUGAUUCGUCAAGCGACUUGCACUUUAGUAUAUAAGGAAUAAGGGAUUACUCACGCUCUCUUUUUCUAAUUCCCUUUAAAAUUUAUUUUAUAAUAAAAAAUAUUUUAUCAGUUUAUGUUUAACAGAAGCUUGAAUCAUAGUUCCUUGCUAUAUAACAAUCGUAUACAAAGCUGAAUUUCAUCUAUUCAAACAGAUUUUAGAUACUGUAUAAUUUAAAAUAUAAAUGUUUUUACCUUUUUCCAAGAAAAGUUGAGGAUAAUUUUCCAAGUUGAAAAUAACUUCAUGUUUCUGAUAUUAAUACUGGAACAAAGCUCUGAUUUUCUACCAUUUAUAUUAUGAUAAUAAAACCCUCUACUUGAAUCAUGCAUAUAGAAUCAUAAAAAAUCGUUUCAGAAGAAAAGAGAAUAGAAGAAUAAGAAAGAGAGAAAACAACUAUAGAAAAUAAUUGUUGUUUGAAUGUUAUGUAAAAAAAAGAAAAAAACAGUUGAAAGUUAAUGAAUUAAUAUUGGAGCAUGAUGGAUGGUGCCAUGAGAAAAAAUAGGGAUUUGAAAUUUGCAGUUACGAAAAUAUUUGAAUUAGAAAACCGUGGCUUAAUUUUUUUUUUCUUAGGUUUUAUAAAAAAAAAUAAAAAUUACAUGUAUCAAAAUCUAAUUGCUCUAGUGACUUGUGCUUUAGUAUAUAAAGGAGAAAAGGUAGCUAGAUUCGUGUUUCGAUCAAGACAAUGAAAAGUUGUUCUACAUUUUCAUGCCUUAAUAUGUUACUAUAAAACAUUAAAAAUUCCUUAAAAAUACCCAAACUAAAUUUUAUUGAACUUUUUAAUACCCAAACUUUUUCGCUACCUAGUUUAAUACUCCAAAUAAUUAAAAUUUUCAUUUAAUACACAAAAUUUCAAAAUUAUGCCCCUUUUAAUAUACAAAACUUGUUUCAUUGAAAAUACUAAUAAGUUUUAAACAAAAUCUAAGAAAAAAUAAAAUUUUCUAAUUUUAUUUUAAAAUUUAAGAAAAAGGUAAACAAUUAGGGAGAAAUUUUUAUAAUUUAAUUUUGAAGAAAAAUAAAUAAAGUUGUUUUCUGUUUCAGAAAACAAACUAAAUUCAAUAUUUAAAACUUAAAACUUUUAUUAAAAAAAUUGAAUAUUAUACAAAAUUAAGUUACUUUUAUUUCACAAACAAAAAAUGAAAUUAGAAUUUUUUGAGAUUAUUUUUAAAUUUUAGAGAUUUUUUGAAUUCGUUUGAAAUCUAUUAGUAUAUUUAAUUAAAAUGAAAAGAAGUCUGGGUAUUAAUAUGGGCAUAUGUUUAAAAGUUUGUAUAUUAAAAUGAGCAAAAUAAUUAGUUGGUGUAUUAAACUGGGUAACGAAACAGUUUGGGUAUUAAAAAAUUUAACAAAAUUUAGUUGGGAUAUUUUUGGAAUUUCCCUAUUUAUAAUUAUGUCCAUGCCUUUGUGUUUUGAGCAAUUCUGUAACAUCCGCCGUUCGUUAGAAUCACAGUCAGCCAUAACAAAAAUUUCUUUAUGGAUCAGCACUAGCUUUUUUAACCAAAAUGAACCGUCUUAUAUUUAAACUUAACUCCAAUAGAAAACCGAAGUCUUAAAUAUCUUAAACGAAACUUGAAGAAAACAAACAUCCAUUUUUUUCAAAAGUUGGUACCACCCAAGACUUUUGCUCUUGCAUAUUUUUCAUAAGUACCUGCAAUAAUGGAGGAUGAAUAUUGGGAUUAUUUAGUGACGGCAUUCUAAAAACCUACGGACUCAUGUCAAGACAAAUAAUACAACAAGCAUAAUUAUAAACUAAUAUCACCUACCAUGCAACAAUCCACAGCUAGACCUCAAAGACCAAAUCCGCUCGUGGUCAUUGGUUAGUUGGCACUUGGCACUGUCCAACCCACAAUCCUAUGUCAGUAUCUGUUAUUGGUCUGUUAGUUCAUUUGGCAUUGUCCCCCCCCCGUCAAAAGCAGGUGGGACAAACCAGGGCAUAGUCCAAUGUUUGGGUAUGAUUUCUGGUACCAACCUCGGUUCAAUACGAUGAUCAGCACAUCUUGGGGAGCACCUAAAUCAUUCUCCAAAGGUUUCAAUCUCCAGCAUGUUGCUGAUGGCUUGUAUGGAAGUCAUUUACAUAUUUAUAAAUGGCCAGAAGGUGAAAUGAAACAGAUUAUUGACCUUGGUAAUACUGGUCUCUUACCUCUUGAGGUAAUACCAUUACUCCAACAUGUUACAUUAAACGUGAUGAUCUUUUUCUAUCAAGGAAUAUAAUCUAGUGUGAUAUGUGGUUGUUGCAGAUUAGAUUCUUGCACGACCCGUCCAAAGAUAUAGGGUAUGUUGGGAGUGCCUUGUCGAGUAAUAUGAUAAGAUUUUUCAGGAACAGUGAUGAUACAUGGAGCCAUGAGGCAAGUAGAGUUUUUAAAUGAUCUUCAUUUCCUUUUUUUUGUUUUUCCUUUUCUUUCAAAUCUAUGAUUAACAUGUUACACACAAUCUAUGGUUAUUUGAAUUGAUUAUUAUUGUAGGUGGUUAUAUCAGUAAAACCAUUGAAAGUAGAAAACUGGAUUCUUCCAGAAAUGCCAGGGCUUAUCACUGACUUCUUGAUCUCCCUCGAUGAUCGGUUUUUCUACUUUGUGAACUGGCUUCAUGGCGACAUUCGUCAGUACAACAUCGAAGACCCUAAGAACCCUUUCUUAACCGGACAGAUUUGGGUGGGAGGACUGCUACAGAAGGGCAGUCCUGUUAAGGCUGUUAGAGAAGACGGUAGCACUUACCAGUUCGAUGUUCCUCAGAUCAAGGUUUGUUGUACCCUCGGAAAGAGCAUUAGAGUUUCAUUUUAUAUGAACUCUAUACAACCUCUUCUUUUAAUAUGUCGAUGUUUGCAGGGGAAAUCUCUAAGAGGAGGACCUCAGAUGAUCCAGUUGAGCCUCGAUGGGAAAAGAUUGUAUGCAACGAACUCGCUCUUCAGUGCGUGGGACCGUCAGUUUUACCCGGAACUCAUGGAUAAAGGAUCACACAUUAUUCAGAUUGAUGUUGAUACAGAGAGAGGUGGUCUCUCAAUAAACCCUGAUUUCUUUGUUGACUUUGGGGAUGAACCUGAUGGUCCUGCCCUUGCUCACGAGAUGAGAUAUCCUGGGGGAGACUGCACCUCCGAUAUCUGGAUUUGAAUCUACACCUAUGAAAGAGUAAUGCUGNN
rnacentral:lncRNA from 1 species